rnacentral:tRNA from 1 species
CAGAAAAUAGUUUAAAAAAAUUUUAGUUUUGGGGACUGAAGAUAAGAGUUUGUUCUUUUUUCUGA